rnacentral:rRNA from 1 species
GUAGGGAAUCUUCCACAAUGGGUGCAAACCUGAUGGAGCAAUGCCGCGUGAGUGAAGAAGGUCUUCGGAUCGUAAAGCUCUGUUGUUAGAGAAGAACACGUGCUAGGUAACUACUAGCGCCUUGACGGUAUCUAACCAGAAAGUCACGGCUAACUACGUGCCAGCAGCCGCGGUAAUACGUAGGUGACAAGCGUUGUCCGGAUUUAUUGGGCGUAAAGGGAGCGCAGGCGGUCUGUUUAGUCUAAUGUGAAAGCCCACGGCUUAACCGUGGAACGGCAUUGGAAACUGACAGACUUGAAUGUAGAAGAGGAAAAUGGAAUUCCAAGUGUAGCGGUGGAAUGCGUAGAUAUUUGGAGGAACACCAGUGGCGAAGGCGAUUUUCUGGUCUAACAUUGACGCUGAGGCUCGAAAGCGUGGGGAGCGAACAGGAUUAGAAACCCUAGUAGUCC